rnacentral:misc_RNA from 1 species
AAGAGUUAGGGUCUUCAGGCCCGACCUCCAACCCAAUGUCUACCUUACCAUGUUGCUUUGGCGGGCCCGUCGUUCGUUCGAUCGCCUCCGGGCCAGUGCCCGCCAGAAGCCCAAUCAAAUUCUUCUGAAAAACUGCCGUCUUAGUAUAUAAGCAAUAAAUUA